rnacentral:tRNA from 1 species
GGCGCUAUCGUCUAGUGGCCCAGGACGGGUGGUUCUCAGCCAUCAAACAGGGGUUCGAUUCCCCUUAGCGCUACCA